rnacentral:rRNA from 1 species
CCUACGGGAGGCAGCAGUAGGGAAUCUUUCACAAUGGUCGAAAGCCUGAUGGAGCAACGCCGCGUGCAGGAUGAAGGCCUUCGGGUUGUAAACUGCUUUUAUAAGCGAGCAAUAUGAUGGUAACUUAUGAAUAAGGAUCGACUAACUACGUGCCAGCAGCCGCGGUCAUACGUAGGAUCCGAGCAUUAUCCGGAGUUACUGGGUGUAAAGAGUUGCGUAGGUGGCAUAAUAAGUAGCUAGUGAAAUCUGGUGGCUCAACCAUUCAGACUAUUAGCUAAACUGUUAAGCUCGAGACCGUUAGGGGUAACUGGAAUGUCUAGUGUAGGAGUGAAAUCCGUAGAUAUUAGAAGGAACACCAAUAGCGUAGGCAGGUUGCUGGGACGGUUCUGACACUAAGGCACGAAAGCGUAGGGAGCAAACGGGAUUAGAUACCCGAGUAGUC